rnacentral:rRNA from 1 species
UCGGGAAUUUUGGGCAAUGGGCGAAAGCCUGACCCAGCAACGCCGCGUGAAGGAUGAAGUAUUUCGGUAUGUAAACUUCGUAAGAAUAGGAAGAAUAAAUGACGGUACUAUUUGUAAGGUCCGGCUAACUACGUGCCAGCAGCCGCGGUAAUACGUAGGGACCAAGCGUUGUUCGGAUUUACUGGGCGUAAAGGGCGCGUAGGCGGCGUGGUAAGUCAUCUGUGAAAUCUCCGAGCUUAACUCGGAACGGUCAGAUGAUACUGCUGUGCUAGAGUACAGAAGGGGCAAUCGGAAUUCUUGGUGUAGCGGUGAAAUGCGUAGAUAUCAAGAGGAACACCUGAGGUGAAGACGGGUUGCUGGGCUGAUACUGACGCUGAGGCGCGAAAGCUAGGGUAGCAAACGGGAUUAGAUACCCCCGUAGUCCCUGAGCGGGCUGGCAAGGCGCAU